UAAGUGCUAGAAGAAUGUCUUCGUUUUCAUGAGCUAAACCUCUGGCCCUUAUUAUUUCUUUUUCACAGUAUAGCCUAUACUUCACAGCCAUCUGCCGCAUAGACGCAGUUAGCGUCAAGUAAAAAAAAAAGAAGAAGAAGAAGAAGGACUCCAUCUUUCUUUUUUCCUUGAACACUACUCGCAACACAUUUUCUCUCGUUGCGUCUUCAAAAUUAUCUACAGAGGCAAGUGGAUUCAUACGAUUCGUCUGCAACGAAUUUUUACGGGGGCCGAAUCGAGGCUACGAAAGGAUCGACGCUCCCUUGGUGCCAUGACGCCGUCACCGACUCGGAGGUGCCUCGACCGGAAGCUCUUGACUGGGCGUGGAGCGUCAAAGGGCCUGCUCGCCUUCUUCCUAGUCGCGAUCACGUUGUCGACACUGCUUCUGCAGGCGACCGCUACGCGGAUUUGCGAGCCGAACGCAUGUGCGACGCGGUGCCUAGGAAGAGGGUUCGACAAUGGCAUGUGCAGCACCCACCAGGAUUAUUUGAACAACGGCCAGGCACUGUGCCGCUGCGCGUACAUACUCGGAUCUGCGCCCAAGGUGCUUCGACGCGAAAUGUCUGAGAAAGCGGCGGACAGGGGCACCUAAACUGGACACGGAAAUAGCUCGCAAGUAGCUACAACCGCGAGCCUAUGAGGUCAAAUAAAAGUUCUUGGAAGUUCCGGA